rnacentral:tRNA from 1 species
GGGUGAUUAGCUCAGCUGGGAGAGCACCUCCCUUACAAGGAGGGGGUCGAAGCGAGUCAUCCUGCACGACCCACCA